rnacentral:rRNA from 1 species
CGGGUGCACUGAUCCGGCCGGGCCUUUCCCUCUGUGGAACCCCAUGGCCUUCACUGGCUGUGCGGGGGAAACAGGACUUUUACUGUGAAAAAAUUAGAGUGCUCCAGGCAGGCCUAUGCUCGAAUACAUUAGCAUGGAAUAAUAGAAUAGGACGCGUGGUUCUAUUUUGUUGGUUUCUAGGACCGCCGUAAUGAUUAAUAGGGACAGUCGGGGGCAUCAGUAUUCAAUUGUCAGAGGUGAAAUUCUUGGAUCUAUUGAAGACUAACUACUGCGAAAGCAUUUGCCAAGGAUGUUUUCAUUGAUAAGGAACGAAAGUUAGGGGAUCGAAGACGAUCAGAUACCGUCGUAGUCUUAACCGUAAACUAUGCCGACUAGGGAUCGGACGAUGUUAUUUCUUGACGCGUUCGGCACCUUUCGAGAAAUCAAAGUGCUUGGGCUCCAGGGGGAGUAUGGUCGCAAGGCUGAAACUUAAAGAAAUUGACGGAAGGGCACCACCAGGGGUGGAACCUGCGGCUUAAUUUGACUCAACACGGGGAAACUCACCAGGUCCAGACACAAUGAGGAUUGACAGAUUGAGAGCUCUUUCUUGAUUUUGUGGGUGGUGGUGCAUGGCCGUUCUUAGUUGGUGGAGUGAUUUGUCUGCUUAAUUGCGAUAACGAACGAGACCUUAACCUGCUAAAUAGCCCGUACUGCUCUGGCAGUUCGCCGGCUUCUUAGAGGGACUAUCGG